rnacentral:rRNA from 1 species
CGGCAGGCUUAACACAUGCAAGUCGAGGGGCAUCGGGAGGGAAGCUUGCUUUCCUUGCCGGCGACCGGCGCACGGGUGAGUAACACGUAUGCAACCUGCCCUCUUCAGGGGGACAACCUUCCGAAAGGGAGGCUAAUCCCGCGUAUAUCGGUUUCGGGCAUCCGAGAUCGAGGAAAGAUUCAUCGGAAGAGGAUGGGCAUGCGGCGCAUUAGCUAGACGGCGGGGUAACGGCCCACCGUGGCGACGAUGCGUAGGGGUUCUGAGAGGAAGGUCCCCCACACUGGUACUGAGACACGGACCAGACUCCUACGGGAGGCAGCAGUGAGGAAUAUUGGUCAAUGGGAGAGAUCCUGAACCAGCCAAGCCGCGUGAGGGAAGACGGCCCUAUGGGUUGUAAACCUCUUUUGUCGGAGAACAAAACCCGGGACGUGUCCCGGACUGCGUGUAUCCGAAGAAAAAGCAUCGGCUAACUCCGUGCCAGCAGCCGCGGUAAUACGGAGGAUGCGAGCGUUAUCCGGAUUUAUUGGGUUUAAAGGGUGCGUAGGCGGUCCGUUAAGUCAGCGGUAAAAUUGCGGGGCUCAACCCCGUCGAGCCGUUGAAACUGGCAGACUUGAGUUGGCGAGAAGUACGCGGAAUGCGCGGUGUAGCGGUGAAAUGCAUAGAUAUCGCGCAGAACUCCGAUUGCGAAGGCAGCGUACCGGCGCCAGACUGACGCUGAGGCACGAAAGCGUGGGGAUCGAACAGGAUUAGAUACCCUGGUAGUCCACGCAGUAAACGAUGAAUGCUGGUUGUCCGGGUCGAAUGAGACCUGGGCGGCGAAGCGAAAGCGAUAAGCAUUCCACCUGGGGAGUACGCCGGCAACGGUGAAACUCAAAGGAAUUGACGGGGGCCCGCACAAGCGGAGGAACAUGUGGUUUAAUUCGAUGAUACGCGAGGAACCUUACCCGGGCUCAAACGGGAGUGGAAUGGACCAGAGACGGUUCAGCCUACGGGCCGCUUCCGAGGUGCUGCAUGGUUGUCGUCAGCUCGUGCCGUGAGGUGUCGGCUUAAGUGCCAUAACGAGCGCAACCCCCGCCGGCAGUUGCUAACGGGCAAUGCCGAGGACUCUGCCGGGACUGCCGCCGCAAGGCGUGAGGAAGGCGGGGAUGACGUCAAAUCAGCACGGCCCUUACGUCCGGGGCGACACACGUGUUACAAUGGGCGGUACAGCGGGAAGCCAGGCGGCGACGCCGAGCGGAACCCGAAAGCCGUUCUCAGUUCGGAUCGGAGUCUGCAACCCGACUCCGUGAAGCUGGAUUCGCUAGUAAUCGCGCAUCAGCCAUGGCGCGGUGAAUACGUUCCCGGGC